CGAUCCAACAGCCUCGAAUCCUCCUUUUGUUGAAGGACACUCCCUUCUGAUGGCGAAUGGAAACUCCCUUCCUGCUGCAGCAGCCGGCCGGCCCAGGUCCGGGUAGGACAGGGUGGCCGCUGUAGACUGUUGCGGCUGCCGUGGCCCCAGAGAGAAAGUGCCCCAGAGCC
rfam:Myotis davidii contig227642, whole genome shotgun sequence.